GGAGAGUUGGCCGAGUGGUCGAAGGCGCACGACUGGAAAUCGUGUAAACGUUAAUAGCGUUUCGAGGGUUCAAAUCCCUUGCUCUCCGCCA
rnacentral:tRNA from 1 species